GGUGGUUCUCGGGUGACGCACCCCAGAACCAGAGAGGAGGGAGCCCGAUUCCGGGGUGUGUCACCCGAGAACCGCC
rfam:Myotis lucifugus cont2.56088, whole genome shotgun sequence.